GAUGAACGCUGGCGGCGUGCUUAACACAUGCAAGUCGAACGAUGAAGCUCAGCUUGCUGGGUGGAUUAGUGGCGAACGGGUGAGUAACACGUGAGUAACCUGCCCUUAACUCUGGGAUAAGCCUGGGAAACUAGGUCUAAUACCGGAUAGGAGCGCCUACCGCAUGGUGGGUGUUGGAAAAAUUUAUCGGUUUUGGAUGGACUCGCGGCCUAACAGCUUGUUGGUGAGGUAAUGGCUCACCAAGGCGACGACGGGUAGCCGGCCUGAGAGGGUGACCGGCCACACUGGGACUGAGACACGGCCCAGACUCCUACGGGAGGCAGCAGUGGGGAAUAUUGCACAAUGGGCGAAAGCCUGAUGCAGCGACGCCGCGUGAGGGAUGACGGCCUUCGGGUUGUAAACCUCUUUCAGUAGGGAAGAAGCGAAAGUGACGGUACCUGCAGAAGAAGCACCGGCUAACUACGUG
rnacentral:rRNA from 1 species